rnacentral:lncRNA from 13 species
CACAGAUCCAUCCUUAGCGUAUCUAAGACAGCUGAUUUCCUCAAUCAAACGUGACAACUGAGGAAGUAGCCAAAGAAUGCAUUGAGUCAGGUCACCCCUGGGCAGGGGUGGGCCCCACCAUAGAGAGCUAAAUGGGCUGUAUGCACUGGGCUCAGGAGGACUUGCAGGAGCUUAAGAUUCCCAGGAAGGAGACCGAAGCCAUGCAAAUGGAAAAGGGAAUGCUGAAACCGGAGCCACAUAGACAUCUGCUUAUAGUUCUGGGCCUGUGCCUGGAGCAAUGGGCACCACAGUCUCCCCCAAGGACAGUGAAGAGAGAAUGCCUGCCACCCAGGGAGAGCAUCCACAGCGCCAGCCAGAAGCUCCAAAUGUCAGGGACUAAGUCUACAGAGGAGCUCCUCUCUAAGCAAAGGUGGUAAGGACCGGAACCUUAGUCGAUGCCACCUUAAUAGAAAAAAAUUCAAAAUCCUGCCAUAGAGAGAGAAAAUUCCUUUAGGAGGGGAACUUUUCUUAGACCCAGUGUGGCUAGCACCACACAGGCAUUCCACCUGCAAUCCCUCAGGCCGCUUGCUUUUGGGGGACCCGAGUUCCCAGGCAAUCGCAGUGAGGAAAGCUGACGUCUCCGGGGAGCUGGGCUAUGUAAUUUGUC